rnacentral:rRNA from 1 species
CUAACAGGAUUCCCCUAGUAACUGCGAGUGAAGCGGGAAAAGCUCAAAUUUAAAAUCUGGCASCCUUCGGUUGUCCGAGUUGUAAUCUAGAGAAGUGUUAUCCGCGCUGGACCGUGUACAAGUCUCCUGGAAUGGAGCGUCAUAGAGGGUGAGAAUCCCGUCUUUGACACGGACUGCCAGGGCUUUGUGAUGCGCUCUCAAAGAGUCGAGUUGUUUGGGAAUGCAGCUCAAAAUGGGUGGUAAAUUCCAUCUAAAGCUAAAUAUUGGCGAGAGACCGAUAGCGAACAAGUACCGUGAGGGAAAGAUGAAAAGAACUUUGGAAAGAGAGUUAAACAGUACGUGAAAUUGCUGAAAGGGAAACGCUUGAAGUCAGUCGCGUUGUCUGGGAAUCAACCUUGCUUUUGCUGGGCUUACUUUCCAGAUAAUGGGUCAGCAUCAAUUUUGAUCGUUGGAUAAAGUCAGGAGGAAUGUGGCAUCUUCGGGUGUGUUAUAGCCUCUUGUCGCAUACAACGGUUGGGAUUGAGGAACUCAGCACGCCGAAAGGCCGGGUACUUGUACCACGUUCGUGCUUAGGAUGCUGGCAUAAUGGCUUUAAUCGACCCGUCUUGAAACACGGACCAAGGAGUCUAACAUGCCUGCGAGUAUUUGGGUGGAAAACCCGAGUGCGCAAUGAAAGUGAAAGUUGAGAUCCCUGUCAUGGGGAGCAUCGACGCCCGGACCAGACCUUUUGUGACGGAUCUGCGGUAGAGCAUGUAUGUUGGGACCCGAAAGAUGGUGAACUAUGCCUGAAUAGGGUGAAGCCAGAGGAAACUCUGGUGGAGGCUCGUAGCGAUUCUGACGUGCAAUCGAUCGUCAAUUUGGGUAUAGGGGCGAAAGACUAAUCGAACCAUCUAGUAGCUG